rnacentral:rRNA from 1 species
UUUUUGUUUUAGUUAUUUUAUAUCUUUCUUUUGUAAAAUAUUUAGAUUUUUGAUAGGGUUUGGAAAGGAAUUUAAAAUUUGUUUUUUGAACUGGAUUAGUACCCAGGUAAACAAAGUUUAUUAAUACGGGAGUAAAGUUUUGUUUAAACCGAAAAAAUAUUGACUGACUUUGGAUUUUUCUUUGGAAUAUGUAUUUUUUGGAUGGCCCUCCUUUUUGGUAGAUUUUGUUGGCACAUGUAUGAUUGUUUAGUUUUUAUUUUUUCCUGUGAUGCUUUUCUUUUUGGUUGAAGAACAGAUAGAUAUUUGGCUUAUAAAUUUUGUUUUAUGUAUUACUAUUUUAAAUUUUUUUUGGAUAUUUUUAUUGAAUUUUUUAUUGAAAUUGGAAAAGAAAGUAAUUUUUUUUUAAUGUGGUUGUGAAUUUAAUAAGUGAAGUGGUACAAACCAUCCGUCAA